UCGGAAUUACUGGGCGUAAAGCGUGCGCAGGCGGUUUUGUAAGGCAGAUGUGAAAUCCCCGGGCUUAACCUGGGAAUGGCAUUUGGGACUGCAAGGCUGGAGUGUGGCAGAGGAGACUGGAAUUCCCGGUGUAGCAGUGAAAUGCGUAGAUAUCGGGAGGAAUACCGAUGGCGAAGGCAGGUCUCUGGGCUGACACUGACGCUCAUGCACGAAAGCGUGGGGAGCAAACAGG
rnacentral:rRNA from 1 species